UGGCAAAGUGGUUAAAGCAAUUGACUGCUAAUCGAAAGGUUGGUGGUUCAAAACCACU
rnacentral:tRNA from 1 species